AAAAAAAAAAAAAAAAAAAGAGUGGAGAACUACAAAAUUAAUGGUGGGCCUCAAUCAGGAUUUUCUUUUUUGGGUGUGUACCAGGAUUGAAUUAUCCAUUUGGUGUUUCAUGCAUCAGUAAGCUUUCCAUCUGUCUGCAAAGUAGGGCUUUUCUGCUCCUUUUCAUCUGCAUCGUUACCCUGUGUUUGUUCCGCCUCUGGAAUAACUCCAUUUUCCACCACAGGCAGGUCCCCAUUUUCUGUUAUACUCUUUUCCUCAGGAUUAUUGACCGGUUUUGGGAGUUCUCUUGAUGAUGAGGUUGCCAAUAGCCGGCCAAUUCCAUCAUAUAGAUUCUUUGCAUCCAUGAUAAGAGCAGUGCCCCCUGGGUAACAGCGACCAAAGCAUGUGGCACAAUGUGGAUAAGCCACCUCUAUAAAAGCUCGGCAAAGUGAGAGGAAAAGUGCAGAUUCAUUUUCUCUAAGCAUCCGAGUUGCAUUGUAUCUUAAAAGAGAAUCAGAAACAGCUUUCAAGCCCUUAAUUAAUUCUUAAGCAAGAACAAACUUCAAACUUAAUGGGGCACAAGGACGUAGUUCAUUCAUUGCAGCGGAUACACCAUUAACAAACACAGCAAGAGGUGGAUGUUCCAUUAAAUAAGAUGGUGGAGUCACAUCUUCUUGAUUUUCUUCACCAAGACUAUUGGUUGGAAAGCCAAUUGUUGGUAGUGGAACCCAGCGAUGUGAAUCCAGAACUAACUGAAAAUUUUCAACUGCUGCACUCAUAUUCUUUGAGAAUAAGUUGAGAACAGCCUCCUCAAAAAGUGAUGGAAGCAAGCCCCGAAAAUCCAAGCCAACCCAACAAAGUCCCAUUGCACAGUACAUGCACUGGUCCAAAAUAUUUGAUAGAGAUCCACCCUCAGUUAUCUUUGGGAGCAUGACUUUAAGAGUUUUAAGGUGUGCAGUAAUCUGAUGCAUAGCCCAACUAAAAAGAAGCCCACCAUCAUAAUUUUCUUCACUUCCAGAUGUGUCAUCAGCAAAUAUUGCUCUAUAUUGGUUAACAACAUCAAAAAGAUGCAUUCUAUGGCAAUUUAUCAUCCCUUUCAAGUACUCAUAUGCAUUUCGCUGGUCCAGAUCCUCCAGAAUACCAGUAAGCCAUGCCUCUCGACAUUUCAAAAACUGAAAUGCAAAUUACUCCUGUCAAAUACAGGCAGACUGAAUCUACCAAAGAAAGCACACAAACAGCUUAAAUGUCUUUAUAGGGAGCACAAUACAAGUUAGAAAUCCUCUAUCUACAUUUUUACCAUCCCAGAGAAAAAAAUUGCAGACAAAAAGCAUUUUUAAGUUUACCUGCAAACGCAUUUCAUACUCACUAAAUACUCCUAUUCGACAUAAAUAGCCAAUAAUCCGCAGACAUUCAGGCAACUGCAGUGUAUAGCCACAAAAACUACCACGCAUAAAAAACCAGUUCGUGCAUAUAAAUCAAUCAACUUGCCUUUGACUUUCUAAGCUUAACAUGAUUAUCAUAAAACCUGGAUGUUAGAUCGAAGUUUCUGAAGAAGCUGAGACAAAAGAGAUUGGGUGGUUUGCCUAACUUCUGCAGCUAAUGCCUGAAUGACAGGUAAAUUGGGGUGCAUGGUUGAGAGUUUGCAAACAAAUGCUUCCAAGUCUAGAGCUUCAUCAUAAUUUCCAUUCCUCACACAUCUGCAAAAGACUAGGAAUCAAUGAAGCUUUAAGUAUUUAUUCUAUGAAAUAAAUGUCUGCGGCUAGAAAGUCAGCAUCAACUUUUCUUUCAAUGGUCACCAAUAUAAGGAAAACUCAACUUAACUAUGCGUCAGUAUCAAUUCCCAAACUAGUUGAGGUUGCUUAAAUGGAUCCUUUUCCACUAUUUAGCUCCAUUUAGUGAGUGGUUGAGUUAUAAAUGUUUUAUUUUGAAUGAUUAGUGAUAAUUCUUCGAUGAGAAUGUCAUUUUUUUUUUCCAACCUUUCAAGUAUAAGGGAGCCUUCGCAGGAAAAAUAUCCAUAAGAAAGCCAGCAAACAGCCUAAAAAUCCUUAAAAAUGCAAAUAGUUUCCUGCCUCAUGAAUGUAGCAAGCUUCAAAGUCAGCUCAGAACAAAGGAGGAACAAUCACAUCCUCGAAACACUUCCACAUAUAGUUUCAGUCUUCCAAGAAGCUGCAUAGAAUAUUUCCUUCACAUGUCAUUCUAAAAGUUAGUUGCAUUGUUUAUGUAGUAAUCUGUCUGGGUCAAGUGGAACAAUCGUUCAGAUUCUUGACUUCAUUUAUAUGCUUAGAUUAUCACCUACAGUUUAGAAUGAAAUAGUUCUUCAAAUGUUUCUGGUCAAGAACUGUAUGAAGGGUUUUAACAAUCAAGUCUACAUCACAUGCUCAAGAAACAACUCUUCAGUCCUCCAAAAUUUUGUUCAUUGAUUAAACUUUAUAACAAAUGACCUUAAGAAUUUCGUAAGGCACAUACGUGUCCAUAAGUUGAGGAAUUUCAAGCAAAUCCAGCAAUGCACUAUGGUUUGCUAACAAUGUUUGGUUCAUCUUCCUCUCCUCUAAAAUCUGUUCGGCAGAUUCGAUGAAUUCUGUGCAACCAGAUGUCAGCUUUGGGAUCUCAUUUAUCUGUGAAUGGGAAAAAGAUUACACAACAGCACACAGAGAUUUCACAAUAUCCUUAGAAGCUUGUAAUGAAAUAUCAAGAAGGUCAGUGAGAUCAAAUUCACUGCAUUCUUCUGCUGUUUGAAAUUUGAAUAAAAAGUAUCUAAACCUUCUAACAAUAAACAAGCCCAACAAAGAAGAAUAAACUACCCCAUUAGAAUGAAUUCAAAAUCAUAGUCAGGUAAUUAGAAACUCCAGGUGCAUUUAGAUUGCAUUUGGAAUCAAACGAAAAUGGAAUUCAUUUCAUUUUAAAAUGAAUUGCCAUAAUGCCCGUGUUUGUUGUCUUAUAUAUUAUAAAUAAAAUUCAUUUUAAAAUCAUAUAUUAUGUAUAUGUAGUUUGGAAAUGAUUUGUAAAUUCUACUAAUUUUGAUCAAUGUGGCUGAAGUAUCACUAAGGUCAUGGAAUCAAAGAUAUAGAAUUCCAAAUGAAUUUUAUGGGAUCCCAAACAUGCCAAGUGUGUAUUUGUGAAUUCUAAUUCUUCUAUUCCAAACAGCUAAACAUAAUCAGAUUUAACCUCAUGAAUAUCACUUUUUAUCAUUUAUUGCCUCAUGUCAAGAUGCUUCCACUCUUUUUUUAUGUAAUGUUCUUCCAUAUGGCAGCCUUCCCGCCCUUCUAUGCAUCAUAGAGAAUCAGAGACAACAACUAGUUACGGCUCACAUAGAGUUCAAAGCAAAUAAAAUGUGAAUACUUCUCCUAAAACUUGCCUUCAUUCCAUAAUAUCAGAUCCCAAUAAAGAGUUUUUUCUUCUAAUUGAACUCUUAAAUGUCUCUGUCCUCAAAUUUCAAUGCAAAUAAGUAAAAUUUACCAUGCAAAAUAUAGUGAAUAGCUUAUCAGUACAAGGGAUUCAAGAUGU
rnacentral:misc_RNA from 1 species